CCUACGGGGGGCAGCAGUAAGGAAUUUUGCGCAAUGGGGGAAACCCUGACGCAGCAACGCCGCGUGAAGGAUGAAGGCCUUCGGGUUGUAAACUUCUUUUAGUUGGGAAGAAAAAAAUGACGGUACCAACAGAAACAGCACCGGCUAACUCUGUGCCAGCAGCCGCGGUAAUACAGAGGGUGCUAGCGUUAUUCGGAUUUACUGGGCGUAAAGCGCGUGUAGGCGGUUCGACAAGUUUGGUGUGAAAGCCCUGGACUCAAUCCAGGAAGUGCAUUGAAUACUGUCGGACUAGAGUGCAGGAGAGGAGAGUGGAAUUCCUGGUGUAGAGGUGAAAUUCGUAGAUAUCAGGAGGAACAACAGAGGCGAAGGCGACUCUCUGGACUGCAACUGACGCUAAGGCGCGAAAGCGUGGGGAGCAAACAGGAUUAGAUACCCGGGUAGUC
rnacentral:rRNA from 1 species